AUCCCCACAUAAUUACCUCGGAUCCUAAUUCCUAACUGGAAUUCUAUUUUUUCAGACAUCAAUAAGAACUCCGAUUCUUUGUACUUUUCAUCGAGUCUUUGACAGAAAAAGAAAAAGAACAUGUCUCGGGAGAGAGCCAAACGUGCGACACUGCCUCCAGCUCAGGAGAAUAUUGAGAAGUUAGAAAAGGUUGUAAAGCAGGGAAAUUACUAUGGAGCUCAACAGAUGUUCAAGUCUAUUAGCGCUAGAUAUGUGUCCGCUGAGAGGUAUUCUGAAGCUUUGGAUAUUCUUCAGUGUGGCGCUUGCUUACAAUUGGAGAAUGGACAGGUUAUAUAAUCUAUUCACUCCUAUGGAA